CUGGGCCUGUCCUGGAUGGCAAGAGAGUCUUCAAAACUUCUUGAAAUACCCCUUCUGCUUACAUCUGGCAUCUGCUGUUCUUCAGGGUGAUGUAACCAAGGCUACGCAACCCUCUACAUCCUUCAGGAAUCCUCCUCAGUUUGCCACUCCUGCCAUGGAGUCAAGGGGCCAGGGUUUAUAAAAGUGACAGCAAACCCAUCGUAACAGAAGUGUCAGGGACAACUGCGUUGGAGCCCAAGCAGACUCUCUUGUCAAAGUCCUCAAAAAUCCCUUUUGCCUACAGCGCCCUU